AGGACAUUACCACACUUUAAAAAACUGUCCACGUGAACUGUAAGCAAGUCUAGCGCUGUGACUGAGCUGGUGUUUUCAUUUUUGGACACUGGAACGGGAGUCAGCAGGACGAAGGUUGGUCUGUUGUAAUGCAAGUUAUGAUGGACUAGCUGAUGAACUUUUGUUUUUAAACCCUUACCUAAAUACUGAUUUAUACUGUGGGGACGAAAGUCCUUGCUUUUACUAGAUAACAACUUUCAGCAGUGGAUGUCUAGGCUCGCACAUCGAUGAAGAACGCUGCGAACUGCGAUACGUAAUGCGAAUUGCAGAAUUCAGUGAGUCAUCGAAAUUUUGAACGCAUAUUGCACUUUCGGGUUAUGCCUGGAAGUAUGUCUGUAUCAGUGUCCGUAAAUCAAACUUGCCUUUCUUUUUCUGUGUAGUCAGGGAUGGAAUGUGCAGAUGUGAAGUGUCUCGCAUGGUUGCGUUCGUUUUUUCGAUCGAGAAUCUGUCGAGUCCUUUUAAAUGGACACGGUCUUUUCUAUGGUUUCUAUGAAGUGUAAUGGUUGGAAGGCAGUGAUUUUCGGAUUGCUGGCGGCUUUUGGCGACUUCGGUAUGAACGUAUGGAGACUAGCUCAAUUCGUGGUAUGUUAGGCUUCGGCUCGACAAUGUUGCGUAAUUGUGUGUGGUCUUUGUUUGUGCCUUGAGGUGUACUAGAGGUUGUCGGUUUGAACCGUAAGUGAUUGUUUAGUAGAGCAUUUUCACGAUGUAUGGAGACGCUGCAUUUAGUUGCGUAGAGAGAUUGAUUUGGGAAAUUUUGUAUCAUUGUCAAUUGCAAGAUUGUGUAUGGUAUCUCAAUUGGACCUGAUAUCAGACAAGACUACCCGCUGAACUUAGAUUCUUUAAAAACGGGAAGGAAAAAAACCCUAAAAAAAACCUUUUGG
rnacentral:rRNA from 1 species